UACGUAGGGUCCGAGCGUUGUCCGGAAUUAUUGGGCGUAAAGGGCUCGUAGGCGGUUCGUCACGUCGGGAGUGAAAACUCGGGGCUUAACCCCGAGCCUGCUUCCGAUACGGGCAGACUAGAGGUAGGCAGGGGAGAGCGGAACUCCUGGUGUAGCGGUGGAAUGCGCAGAUAUCAGGAAGAACACCGGUGGCGAAGGCGGCUCUCUGGGCCGUAACUGACGCUGAGGAGCGAAAGCAUGGGGAGCGAACAGG
rnacentral:rRNA from 1 species